rnacentral:lncRNA from 1 species
UUAAAUUAAUAUAGUCCUUUUCAAUAUUGUCCAAUUUAAUUUUAAAAGUUAAUUCAAUCAAAUCAUAUCUUCCAAAUGUAACCUUAAGUUAUUAAGGUCUGGGUUUAGUGGGGCAAUAGGGGGACACCUGUUCAAGACUCAAUCGAUGCUCUCCUACACAAAUUAAUAGAAGGUGUAUGUAUCUCUCUAAAUAUUUUUGGAAGUAUAUAUAACUCCUCGGUAGAUCUCAAAUUACACUAUAUAAGCGUAUAAACUUAAGCUAAUAAUAGAUAAUAGGUUGUAAGAUGUAACAAUUUUUUUUUUAAUAAAAAAAGCCUUCCUGUUACUUUGACUGUCCGUGCACUGUUGCACGGGUCGAUAUAAUUGGUCUAUCAUUUUUAUUUGUGUUUAUAAAAAGUUGCAUGAAUAUGAGGCUUUUCAAUAUCAACUCUUAAAAUUAAAAACUCUGAUCGGUCUGGUACUUAUCUUGGGGGCUUUGGGAAUAAUUGGGACGUCUUCGGGCAGCUUUUUUUUUGAGGUGAUAUGCCAUGUUGCUAGUUAUUGAAAAUGCCAUUGCUAGAGGUUGGAAUUAUUCAUGGCAUGAGGUUAUGCUUCAAUUCUUGUUGUUACUUAUUUUGUAAUCUCGAGAAUUGGAUUUAAUUAACUACUGCAUCGUGUGGUGAAUUUCAUGCACUUCAAGAUCAUUCCUAUUUUUCGAGGAGAGACCAAUGUUGUUGCUAAUCGAUUAGCUAAUCUCAAGUGUCAAUUGCAGCUCGCUAACUUGGUCGGUUAGAUAUUUCAUCAUCAGAUAUUAUUAGUCUUCUUUAAGAAAGAUGCUAAUGGAUUUUACUAUUAAUUAAUUUUUUUUUAAUUUAUUAACUUGCCUAUUAGAAUG